rnacentral:rRNA from 1 species
UGGGGAAUAUUGCACAAUGGGCGCAAGCCUGAUGCAGCCAUGCCGCGUGUAUGAAGAAGACCUUCGGGUUGUAAAGUACUUUCAGCGGGGAGGAAGGGAGUAAAGUUAAUACCUUUGCUCAUUGACGUUACCCGCAGAAGAAGCACCGGCUAACUCCGUGCCAGCAGCCGCGGUAAUACGGAGGGUGUAAGCGUUAAUCGGAAUUACUGGGCGUAAAGCGCACGCAGGCGGUCUGUCAAGUCGGAUGUGAAAUCCCCGGGCUCAACCUGGGAACUGCAUUCGAAACUGGCAGGCUAGAGUCUUGUAGAGGGGGGUAGAAUUCCAGGUGUAGCGGUGAAAUGCGUAGAGAUCUGGAGGAAUACCGGUGGCGAAGGCGGCCCCCUGGACAAAGACUGACGCUCAGGUGCGAAAGCGUGGGGAGCAAACAGG